rnacentral:rRNA from 1 species
AUGUGCUCUUACACUGGCGAAAAGGAUGACCCACUGCGUCAUAGUCCCGACGACUUACCAGAUGAUGUGGUGGAGGCUACAGCCCAAGCGUUGUUGAAAGAGGGCACGGUGACUAGUAAUGCCUUUGGCUUACUUCCUUUCUGCAAGAAGAACCCGGCCCCCGCAGCCGAUGACAACUUCUGGAAGGUCAAGUAUGACCAUGAGGCGGCCAAACAAGCCAGAGCGGCAAAAAGAGCUGAAAGGAAAGCCGCCAAGACUAGAACUUCGAAGAAGAGGAAGCCAAGCGCUUCCGAUAUGUUUAAACUUGACGACACUGAUGACGAUGAAGAAGAGGAAGACACGGGGAACAGCCGAGCCGUCGAGGAAGUGGUAACUAUAAUCUCCUCCGACUCCGAGCCCUUGCCGCGUCAGAAAAUUCGAAGAGUAACCCGGAAAGUAAGAUUUUCACAUCCUUUGGCUUACCAAGAUCCUCAAUUUAUUUUGAAGCAACAACAAUUGGAAAGCCGGAGGCAGACCCGGACCAGCAAGGAUGUAGAGCUCUCCUCCGGCUUACCUGACGUAAUCAGGAAGCGUCAGACUGAGGAUACCUCUCCUUCCUCCGGCGAGUCUAUGCAAUCUAACAUGCCGACUUUCAAAACUGCCCCUGGCGUACAAGUGAAUCCCAGUAAGAGGGCAAAAAAGAGUAAGCCGUCCCAAGACCCAGUCGUGACUGAACCAGAGCUUGACACGACUGAUCCUAACAGUUCUACCCAUCAGCCGCCGCCUGAACCAGCCUAUGACAUUCCAGCACCAACCUCUGAUCCACCCGCCGAAGAUACUCUCAACAGCUCUGAUAACCCGAAAGCUCCUAGCCCGGCCAAGACAAUUGAUCCGGAAGUUGAGAUUCUAAAGAAUCAGUUUGUUGAGCCAGGGCAGCCCACUGUCCUUGCCAAGUGCUCUGCUAAGGAGGAACUGCUGGAACACCGAAAGGCCAAGCUAGACAUUGCUGACUAUACUCAUUUAAGCAUUGGCGAUAUAGUCUCUGGCUAUCUCAAUCAAGUACAUAGCAGCCGUGACCUGGAAAUUGACAUGGUGAAGCAAAUACAACAAAAAUCUGAGGUAUAA